rnacentral:rRNA from 1 species
UACGGAGGGUGCAAGCGUUGUCCGGAAUCACUGGGCGUAAAGGGCGCGUAGGCGGCCUGGUAAGUAGGGGGUGAAAUCCUGCGGCUUAACCGCAGGGCUGCCUUCUAAACUGUCAGGCUUGAGCACGGUAGAGGCAGAUGGAAUUCCCGGUGUAGCGGUGGAAUGCGUAGAGAUCGGGAAGAACAUCCGUGGCGAAGGCGGUCUGCUGGGCCGUUGCUGACGCUGAGGCGCGACAGCGUGGGGAGCAAACAGG